rnacentral:rRNA from 1 species
AUGGCAGAACCUUCCAAGCUCAUCACAACCAAGGACAAGGACGACAAGGACCAGGUGAUCACCAAUCCUGCAUAUGCCCCCUGGUUAGUCCAAGAUCAACAUAUUGUUGCAUAUCUCCUUCAAAAUCUCUUCAAGGAGGUGCUGAUUCAAGUAGCAUCGAUGGAAACAUCGUAUGCGAUCUGGACGGCUCUAAGCAACAUGUUCUCCAUCGUCUCACUGUCCCGCGUCAACAACAUUCGUGUCUCCCUCACCAACGCCCAGAAGGGCAACCAGCCAGCGGUGACCUACUUCGGGCACAUGUGUGCUCUCUCUGUUGAGCUUGCGGCGGCAGGCAAACUGAUCAAGGAGGACGAGCUGGUGCCAUUCAUCCUCGCGGGGCUUGACAUGGAGUAUCAGCCCAUCAUUUCCGCCUGGGACGCACACACUGAUCCAGUCACCGUCGAGAACCUCUUCUCCAUGGUAGCCAAUUUUGACCAGCGUGUCGAGAUAUUCCAUGUGACAGGCGCCGGCAACUUCAAGUCCUCCGCGAACCUUGGUUCUCACGGUCGCUAG